rnacentral:tRNA from 1 species
AGGAUAGUAGUUAAUAAUAACAUUUAAGUUGCAUCUAAAAAGUAUUAGAAAUUAUUCUAAUCUAUCUUA